AUGCUGUGUCUGAAGAUUGUUAAAGUCGUGACCCAGACAGCCCUCCGCAUUCUCCUACCAGCGCUAGCUCGUAUCAUGGGGGUGAACCUGAGGAGUGGGGCAACCUCCCCAGAAUCCCAGUGCUCUCUGACAGGGUCUGAGGAUUCCUUAGGCGGUCUGGAUGAGAGAGAGAAAAGGCUGCUGAUCAGUGAGAUGAACUACUGGACUAAGGAGAGGAGGAGGAAUGGCAGUGCAGGAUGCCGCCAAAAAUCCACUCGCAGAACCUCAUCACCAUGCUGUUCGCCUAAGAGGUCCCAGACCUCAUUGCAGAGCUUGCCUGCAACUAGAGAGGCUCCCCUCAUGGAGGAGCCUCUGAAGGCUCUUUUUGGGGUAACGGAAGAGAGCCUUCUGAUAUCCCUGGUUGAGGGUCACUCCAACCCCACCUCCUCCAGCUCCUCCGAGUUGAGCUGUGCUAUCGUGGGGGAGGUGGUACACCAGCUUAACUCUGGCCUCUCAGUGGCCAUUCAGGCCAGCCCGGGGAGUUGCCCCCCAAUGGACAGUCAGGACAUAGCAGCAGGCAAGGAGGUCAUUCGGGUAGCCUCGGUUCAGAUCCUGGCCGAGCUACAGAGCCAAACAUCUGAGCCAGAGUGGGUAGGGUUUAUCGAGCCCCUCAUGGACCCUGUGACCGAUGAUGUGCUGGAGGCCAUUGUCGGCACAAUGGACAAAAUGGCACAGGACUUCAACAUCCUAUUGGAUCUGGCCAAGAAGAUGACAAUCUUGGGGUCUAAAUUUCUGACCAAUCUUCAAUGUGACCUAGAUGUUGAGUGUCCAUCUGGGAAGGAAGGGACCACUCACUUUCUCAAAGAGACUGGAUCCUCUACCAGUGUGGUGGCCAGAAAGAUUCAGACCCUCUCUAGCCCCGACUUUCAGUCUAAAGCCCUGAAGGCGGUGAGCACCAUCCUUACAAGGAAAGUCAGCAGCUCUUCUGGCAUGGCUCCUUCCUCUAGGCCUUCUAGUGCUGCUCCUAGCCUUACUGAAGUCCCGCUGAAUACCAGCUGCACAGCCCUGACAUCUGUAACCUCCACUGCCACAGUGAUUGUUAAGGCAUUUGUGGGAGGCAUGGAGACGAUAGCAUCAUUUGAAGACACAUGUGAAGCAGUUGAUUGGCCAGUUCCUGUAAAUGACCACAAAACAGGGUCUUCACAGAAGAUAACCUUCUCUCUAGCCGGUACACUCUAUGGCCGUAUACGAGCAAAGCUGAGGGACCUUUUAACUCUAGCCGCUCGAGAAGAAGGUGUGGCAAAGGAUGCUUCUCUUCGGGAGUCUUCAGACACCCUGGAAAAGGCAACUGUUUCAACUGUUGAGGUCCAGUUACCCAGCACCGAACACAGUAGAGUUCCCAGAGAGAGCCAACCAAUACCAGCUCUCUGUCUCUCCAAUCUGGAUACCAGUACUCAAGAAGUUCUUAGCAGUGUUUUUUCCAUCUACAAGUCAGAGUUAUCAAAAGUGGAGAGUAAAUCCUUGGCCGUUGUCAGUUCAUCUGAUGAGUCCCUAGAGGCUUGUUGGUUUGUUGAUGGUGUCCUAUCAAAGCUCGAUGACUAUACUAUUUCCCAGUCACCCUCACCCAAUGAAGACUUGAGCGUGAGUACUCAAUAUUCUCAACUGAGCUCAGAAGAGAGUGUCAGAAUCACAGAGUCCUCAACUAGUCUGAUUCAGAGCAUUAAGAAGCUCUCUAGCAAUGACUUUCAGAUUCAGGCAGAAGAGGCAGUGAGUAAAGUGCUGAUGAGAUCCAGUCAUUCCUUUAUCACACAGAUCAGCCAUACUGGUCUUCAGAAAAGUCUGCAGGCUGGCUUAUCAUCUAGCUCACCAUCAGAGAUCCAUGUCCUUUCAGAAUCCAUGUCCUCCAUGUCCUCUGAGAAUACAGCCUCUGGAUUAGUGGAAACCUUUGUCAAAGGAAUGGCGACUAUUUUCCAGAAAAAUGAGUCCACUGACUCUGUGCUACUGGAAAGAAGUGGGAGAGUUUCACAGUGCUCCCACGGGGGCUCCCAACUGGAUUAUACUGAAUUGAGUGUUAAAAUAUCAGAGGAGAAGCUUUGGUCAACAGCUAAGAACAUCUGCGUCAGUAUGAAGAACACACUUAAGGAUUUCUUCACAGGGCUGAAGCCAUCCGGAUCCGAAAGGACAGAAAUGGCUUCUUCCAAAGAGACCCUUGGGGAAAUCCUGGUUGCUAUCCAGAGUGAAAUCUCAAACUUCGGGCGAAUGAAGGAUUCCAGGGAGCUCCUUCAGAUCAAUGAUAUGGUAGGAACUAUGCUGAAGGAGAUUGAGAAAAGUGAGGAUGACAGUGAACAAGUCUGCCAAGACAUCCCUCGAACCUGUUCAUCUUUAUCCACUUCUUUAAAUGGUCGUAGUUCCUUGUCCAGCUCUUCAAAGGGUCCUAGGUCAGAGUGUGAGUUAGAGAUCAACCUCCCUGGCACUCCCAUCCCUGACAAAGUGCCUUUUGAUCUGACCUGCCCCAUCGUCAGGAGCUCCUGCAUCGACACCAGGGACAAGAUGAUGGCACACACAGAUGAACCCCUGCAUCGUAACAGUCCAAUGACUGACAGCAGCCGACCACCGAGUGCUAAAGUCUCUUUUCGAUCCUCCACUCCGUCUUUCACCAGCAAGGGAACCUCUUUGGUACCAAAGGGAGAGGGGAUUGACAUUGAAGAGAAGGAGGUGUGUAUCCCCAGCAGCUCUGGCCAUCUGAGGGAGCUCUUAAUCAUCCCGGACAUCAGCAGUGCCACUGCAUUCCCACUGCAGUACUUGAAGGACUCCAGCAAAGAUGAUGGCAUCUGUUUUGUCACCAUACUGGUGAUAAGGUUGCUAUCGGAGAUCAGACCCUCAGCCCUAGAUGGACCCUCCCAACAGGCAGCAGAUCUGACCGAAACAUCUCAGCAACUCAUCAGACAAGUCCUGUCUGAGUUCUGUGCUGCAUCCAGAUUAUCCAGGACACAGGCAUAUUCCCAGAACCUGAACAUCCAAAGGGUGUUCAGAGGUGUACAUAAAAACCUCAUGGAGGAGUUUGGCUCUUAUAACACCCUGCAAGCAGCUAUUUCCUCCCAGGACCCUGCAUUUGACAGAGUCCUGGUAAAGUCCUUGACCCAGCAGCUGGUACAGGGAUGCAAGGAGGCGUCAAGACCAGCUUCUGCUGCAACAAACCCAUCAGACCAGGCUGAGACGGAGAGGGGGGCUGAGCAGAAAGCAAGAAGGAGCUUCCUUUGCUUUUCAAUGACUAAACUCAGGAUCAACUUCAAGGUAUAGCAGGGAGUUAGCAUUUGUUUUUUGUUCCAGUUAGGUGCUGAUUUUAUUGAUGUGGCUAUGAUAAGACAAAUACAUGAAAUAAAUAUUUUUUAUUCACCACUAAAUUGUUGCCUUGGAUUCAGAAGUGUUCCAUUUAUUUAUUCUCUGUACCAUUUUCUUUACCUUUCUUCUGUUAGCGUUCCAAGAGAGGAAACAAAAAGGACUGCCAUUCAGUCCAAGACCAGACUGAGAUUCCCUCUACUGAUGGACAUUGCAUAGGUAAGGAUGUUUUAGAGCUCUGCUAUAGCUUGUAGUUUUGUUUAGGUGUGUGUUAGAAACAUAGGAAUUCCUACCAAACUCAUAGCACUGUUAUUUUUCAAUGUUACUAUACUGCAUCUCUCUCUCUCUCUCUCUCUCUCUCUCUCUCUCUCUCUCUCUCUCUCUCUCUUACCCCAUCCAUUUCUCUUGUGUUUCUAGCUCCAGUUGGAGAGGUUUCUCCCUCCAUAUCUCAGCCUGUCAAAAAACGAUCCUUGAUUGUCAGGGUCUUUUCAGCAAUGAUGAAGCCAUUCAGGCGCUUCACCAAGAAGAACCUGUAACCUGUUACGCUGCAUGAAGAACUACUUUUGUAACAGCAAGACUUUUGACAAGAGGAAUUUCUGCAUGUCUAACCUUUCAAAGUCUAUUUGAUCAAAUAAAUGCCAACGAUUUUACAAGAAUUUCAAGUGUUUUGGAAGAUUGAUAAUACUGAAGCAGAUUUUCUCAGAGAAAUGCACUAGUUCCCCCUUGGUUACACAUUUAUUGUUCAGCUUUUGAGUUGGCAGGACAUAGGGCGUCAGGUAGCCUUGUGGUUAGAGCAUUGGGCCAGUAACUGAAAGGUUGCUAGGUCAGAUCCCUGAGCUGGCCAUGUAAAAAUAUGUCGUUCUGUUCCUGAACAAGGUAGUUAACCCACUGUUCCUAAGCUGUCAUUUAAGAAAAACACAUAGAGGAGAAUUAGCUAUCUGCAGCUAGAUCAACCCUCUGAGAUGCUUUCUAUAUUUUUUUUCUAUAUUUUUUAUUUCACCUUUAUUUAACCAGGUAGGCAAGUUGAGAACAAGUUCUCAUUUACAAUUGCGACCUGGCCAAGAUAAAGCAAAGCAGUUCGACACAUACAACGACACAGAGUUACACAUGGAGUAAAACAAACAUACAGUCAAUAAUACAGUAUAAACAAGUCUAUAUACGAUGUGAGCAAAUAAGGUGAGAUAAGGGAGGUAAAGGCAAAACAAAGCCAUGGUGGCAAAGUAAAUACAAUAUAGCAAGUAAAACACUGGAAUGGUAGAUUUGCAGUGGAAGAAUGUGCAAAGUAGAAGUAAAAAAUAAUGGGGUGCAAAGGAGCUAAAUAAAUAAAUAAAAUAAAAUAAAUACAGUAGGGAAAGAGGUAGUUGAUUGGGCUAAAUUAUAGGUGGGCUAUGUACAGGUGCAGUAAUCUGUGAGCUGCUCUGAUAGUUGGUGCUUAAAGCUAGUGAGGGAGAUAAGUGUUUCCAGUUUCAGAGAUUUUUGUAGUUCGUCCCAGUCAUUGGCAGCAGAGAACUGGAAGGAGAGGUGGCCAAAGAAAUAAUUGGUUUUGGGGGUGACCAGAGAGAUAUACCUGCUGGAGCGCGUGCUACAGGUGGGUGAUGCUAUGGUGACCAGCGAGCUGAGAUAAGGGGGGACUUUACCUAGCAGGGUCUUGUAGAUGACAUGGAGCCAGUGGGUUUGGCGACGAGUAUGAAGCGAGGGCCAGCCAAUGAGAGCGUACAGGUCGCAAUGAUGGGUAGUAUAUGGGGCUUUGGUGACAAAACGGAUUGCACUGUGAUAGACUGCAUCCAAUUUGUUGAGUAGGGUAUUGGAGGCUAUUUUGUAAAUGACAUCGCCAAAGUCGAGGAUUGGUAGGGUGGUCAGUUUUACAAGGGUAUGUUUGGCAGCAUGAGUGAAGGAUGCUUUGUUGCGAAAUAGGAAGCCAAUUCUAGAUUUAACUUUGGAUUGGAGAUGUUUGAUGUGGGUCUGGAAGGAGAGUUUACAGUCUAACCAGACACCUAGGUAUUUGUAGUUGUCCACGUAUUCUAAGUCAGAGCCGUCCAGAGUAGUGAUGUUGGACAGGCAGGCAGGUGCAGGCAGCGAUCGGUUGAAGAGCAUGCAUUUAGUUUGACUUGUAUUUAAGAGCAAUUGGAGGCCACGGAAGGAGAGUUGUAUGGCAUUGAAGCUUGCCUGGAGGGUUGUUAACACAGUGUCCAAAGAAGGGCCAGAGACUCACCAGCAGCAAGAGCGACAUCAUUGAUGUAUACAGAGAAGAGAGUCGGUCCAAGAAUUGAACCCUGUGGCACCCCCAUAGAGACUGCCAGAGGUCCGGACAGCAGACCCUCCGAUUUGACACACUGAACUCUAUCAGAGAAGUAGUUGGUGAACCAGGCGAGGCAAUCAUUUGAGAAACCAAGGCUGUCGAGUCUGCCGAUGAGGAUGUGGUGAUUGACAGAGUCUAAAGCCUUGGCCAGAUCAAUGAAUACGGCUGCACAGUAAUGUUUCUUAUCGAUGGCGGUUAAGAUAUCGUUUAGGACCUUGAGCGUGGCUGAGGUGCACCCAUGAUCAGCUCUGAAACCAGAUUGCAUAGCAGAGAAGGUAUGGUGAGAUUCUAUUGUUUUCAUACUGUUUUUAUUUAUUUACUUUUCUGCUCUUUUGCUCACCAGUAUCUUUACCUGCACAUGACCAGCUGAUCAUUUAUCACUCCAGUGUUAAUCUGCUAAAUUGUAAUUAUUCGCCUACCUCCUCAUGCCUUUUGCACACAAUGUAGAUAGACUCUUUUUUUCUACUGUGUUAUUGACUUGUUUAUUGUUUACUCCAUGUGUAACUCUGUGUUGUUGUCUGUUCACACUGCUAUGCUUUAUCUUGGCCAGGUCGCAGUUGUAAAUGAGAAUUUAAUCUCAACUAGCCUACCUGGUUAAAUAAAGGUGAAAUAAAAUAAAAAUAAAAAUCUGGCACUUUUUUUCAGAAAACCGAUGGCAGCGUCUAUCAUUGCUCUUCUACCAUCUAUCCCAUGUCUGCACCUCCCUCUUCCAUCAAAAACAAAUUACCUGGUUAAAGUUAGUUAGGAUAGGGGUUAGGGUUAAGGUUAGAGUUAAGUUUAGGAGUUAGGUUAAAGGGUUAAGGUUAGAGUUAGGGGAAGGGUUAGCUAUAAGGGUUAGGGGAAGGGUUAGCUAACAUGCUAAGUAGUUACAAAGUAGCUAAAAAGUGGUAAGGAGUUGAAAGUUUGCUAAUUAGCUAAAGUUGUCUGUGAUGAGAUUCAAAAUCAUAACCUUUGGAUCGUUAGACAUCCGUGUUAUACUGUAUGCCCACCCCUCCACCCUGACCAACCACCCUACUUUCGUUUUUGCCUUAAAUAACCAUUUGUCUUAUAUAACCAUACCAAACAUAAGAUAUUAUACUAAUUUGAGUGUCCCGGAAUUACAUUUACUAUGUUACGUCUAGUCUAUGAGAUCAGGCUGAUCACAGGCAUGAACAGAGUAACAGGUCAUUGAAGUUAUGAGUGUGAGUGUUAGAGAGGGAUUUGAGGAUUUCACUGUGGGUCAAUGCAGAGCUAAGCAUGAAGGAUUUUUGUGGCAUGACAUAAAACCAGAAACCACAGCACAGAGGAAACCUCUGAGGGUCAUAAUGGCUGGUCCCAUUAAACCUGGGGGAGGAGGAGUUUCAGCAGACCUCAGAGGACAGGAGCUGUCAUGGUGUUAAGGACAGUAGAUGAAUCACCACACUUUUUUGCUCUUGUUCCCUGUGUGUGUGUGUGUGUGUGUGUGUGUGUGUGUGUGUGUCUUGACAGAGGUAGAACGUGAUGAAAUACAGAAUUGUGCGUUCGUUUGUUGUAGCUUUUUAUUAUUGUAAUAGAUCAUUUUCAUCCCUAGCUUUUUAAGAAUGAGGCAAGAUGAAGUCAAAUUUCUCAAACAAGAAACAUGGUUGACUGUUUCCCUUCAGUCGAUUUCUCAUUCUCUUGUAAAAUAGCAAUGAUGCAAGCGCUCUGAUCUAGAAGCCAGUGAAAGCGAGAGGUUUUACAGCUAGUUUGUUCAGCUCAGGAAAGCCCCACGGCAGCACUUUGGAGUGUAGCAUUGUGUUUUGGUAUCCUCAUCUCCUUUGACAGAGUCUCCCGCAUAACGACGGAGCAGAUAAAGCAGUACUGGGUAGAGCUGGUGGGGCUUUCAGAGUCAGUUUCAUCUUUCUGCUCAGGCACAGGGCAGGCGUCAUAUGAAGUGUUUAUCUCAGGAGUGCCUGAUUUACCUCUGAUUGGUGUCAAAUGUGAGAGAAAGUGGGAUCCGGGUGCUCUUUUUCCGUUGUAUGGAUGUCUGUCUUUGACGGAGAAAAGCCUUGCCAUU
rnacentral:lncRNA from 1 species